rnacentral:rRNA from 1 species
AUUGAACGCUGGCGGUAGGCCUAACACAUGCAAGUCGAACGCGAAAGUCCUUCGGGAUGAGUAGAGUGGCGGACGGGUGAGUAACGCGUAGGAAUCUAUCCUGUAGUGGGGAUAACGUUUCGAAAGGAACGCUAAUACCGCAUACGCCCCAAGGGGGAAAGCGGGGGAUCUUCGGAACUCGUGCUAUUGGCGGAGCCUGCGUCGGAUUAGCUAGUUGGGGAGGUAAAGGCUCACCAAGGCGACGAUCCGUAGCUGGUCUGAGAGGAUGAACAGCCACACCGGGGCUGAGACACGGUCCGGACUCCUACGGGAGGCAGCAGUGGGGAAUAUUGCGCAAUGGGCGAAAGCCUGACGCAGCCAUACCGCGUGUGUGAAGAAGGCCUUCGGGUUGUAAAGCACUUUCAGUGGGGAGGAAAAGCUGGUGGCUAAUAUCCAUCGGCCGUGACGCUACCCACAGAAGAAGCACCGGCUAAUUCCGUGCCAGCAGCCGCAGUAAAAC